UACGGAGGGGGCUAGCGUUGUUCGGAAUUACUGGGCGUAAAGCGCGCGUAGGCGGACCUGCAAGUCGGGGGUGAAAGCCCGAGGCUCAACCUCGGGCCUGCAGUCGAUACGGGCAAACUAGAGUACUGCAGGGGAGACUGGAAUUCCUGGUGUAGCGGUGAAAUGCGCAGAUAUCAGGAGGAACACCGGUGGCGAAGGCGGGUCUCUGGGCAGUAACUGACGCUGAGGAGCGAAAGCGUGGGGAGCGAACAGG
rnacentral:rRNA from 1 species